rnacentral:sRNA from 1 species
UGAAGUGCACCAUUUUGAGGUUGGCAGCAGCUUCCUUAGCGGUCCUUACCUCGCAACUCAUUUGGAGAAAAAGAUCCCUUGUGUUAGGGCUUCGAGGAAGAGAAAGUGAGCGCGAGAGAAAUAGGCUCCAUGGCCCAAAUGCCACUUGACCAGAAGCUCAGUGAAGAUUGGGGCACAUGCGGGAAGCUUAAUCAGUAGAAAGAAAGAAGAAAGACGAAGAAGAUGAUCAAAGGGUUCAGAGAGAAAGAGUGAAAGAAAAGAAGGGCUUACCGUCCGAUUGAAGAAGAUGCGUGAAAUGUAAGAGCGCAUGUUCUCUUUUCUCUUGAACCCUAUAAAAAGCGUUUUGCUGUACAGAGUAGAGGGUACGGUGGAGGGUGACAGACUCCACUCAAGUGUGUUGUGGUAUCGCGGACGGUGACAGACUCCGCACGAGAGUUCUGAGUAGAGAGUGAGAACAUGACGGGUGACAAACGUCGCACAUAGGGUUAGGGGUUUCCAUCUCAUUUUCAUUUUUCCAUUGUAA